rnacentral:rRNA from 1 species
ACGCUGGCGGCGUGCCUAAUACAUGCAAGUCGAGCGGACCAAUAGAAAAGCUUGCUUUUCUUGAGGUUAGCGGCGGACGGGUGAGUAACACGUGGGCAACCUACCUGUAAGACUGGGAUAACUUACGGAAACGUGAGCUAAUACCGGAUAGUUUCACUUCUCGCAUGAGAAGUGAAGGAAAGAUGGCUUUUAGCUAUCACUUACAGAUGGGCCCGCGGCGCAUUAGCUAGUUGGUGGGGUAAAGGCCUACCAAGGCAACGAUGCGUAGCCGACCUGAGAGGGUGAUCGGCCACACUGGGACUGAGACACGGCCCAGACUCCUACGGGAGGCAGCAGUAGGGAAUCUUCCGCAAUGGACGAAAGUCUGACGGAGCAACGCCGCGUGAGCGAAGAAGGUCUUCGGAUCGUAAAGCUCUGUUGUUAGGGAAG